CCCUGGUUAGCUCAGUUGGUACAGCGCUCCUCCUGUAUAUGGAGAGGUCCCGGGUUCGAUACCCGGAUUAGGCG
rnacentral:tRNA from 1 species